rnacentral:tRNA from 1 species
GGCCGCGUGGCCUAAUGGCUAAGGCGCUAGAUUUCGGUUCACUGAAAUUUCGGUUUACACACCUUCUCUAGAGAUUCCAGGUUCGACUCCUGGCGUGGUCG